rnacentral:rRNA from 1 species
CAGCAGCCACGAUAAUACGGAGGGAGCUAGCGUUGUUCGGAAUCACUGGGCGUAAAGCGCACGUAGGCGGCUAUUCAAGUCAGGGGUGAAAGCCCGGGGCUCAACCCCGGAACUGCCUUUGAAAUUAGAUAGCUUGAAUCUUGGAGAGGCGAGUGGAAUUCCGAGUGUAGAGGUGAAAUUCGUAGAUAUUCGGAAGAACACCAGUGGCGAAGGCGACUCGCUGGACAAGUAUUGACGCUGAGGUGCGAAAGCGUGGGGAGCAAACAGGAUUAGAUACCCCGGUAGUCCCUGUCUCUUAUAC